GUUCUGGGAGCUAGUGAGGUGGAAAGCCAGGAAUCUAAACAUUCACGAUAUAAACUUGUAAUCAACCUCUGUUUUCCAGAUGAAGUCCUCGUUGUCAACUGAUGUCUCCCAGGCCAGAUCUCACUUGUUUGACUCACUCCGGAGAAUGCACCUGCAGUAGUCAAUCGUCUUCACAGGAUAGACCACUUGGGCCAUUUCUGUGUGGAACCCUAAAACCACAAUAAGGUGAAGAAGUUAAGUCAAGUCUAACGGAUGAUGAGAAGUUGGCUGGAAGAAAACCAAGGAAGCUCAGCUUAGAGAUCUGUGACCAACGCCAUCUUGGAACUCCCAGCCUUAGCCUAACCAUGAACGACUGUAGUCACAUGAGGGAUCCCAGGAACGGUCAGCAGAAGAACUCUCCCUGUUGUUAAA
rnacentral:lncRNA from 1 species